rnacentral:rRNA from 1 species
UGGGGAAUAUUGCACAAUGGGGGAAACCCUGAUGCAGCGACGCCGCGUGGAGGAAGAAGGUCUUCGGAUUGUAAACUCCUGUUGUUGAGGAAGAUAAUGACGGUACUCAACAAGGAAGUGACGGCUAACUACGUGCCAGCAGCCGCGGUAAAACGUAGGUCACAAGCGUUGUCCGGAAUUACUGGGUGUAAAGGGAGCGCAGGCGGGAAGACAAGUUGGAAGUGAAAUCUAUGGGCUCAACCCAUAAACUGCUUUCAAAACUGUUUUUCUUGAGUAGUGCAGAGGUAGGCGGAAUUCCCGGUGUAGCGGUGGAAUGCGUAGAUAUCGGGAGGAACACCAGUGGCGAAGGCGGCCUACUGGGCACCAACUGACGCUGAGGCUCGAAAGUGUGGGUAGCAAACAGGAUUAGAUACCCUGGUAGUCCACACCGUAAACGAUGAUUACUAGGUGUUGGAGGAUUGACCCCUUCAGUGCCGCAGUUAACACAAUAAGUAAUCCACCUGGGGAGUACGACCGCAAGGUUGAAACUCAAAGGAAUUGACGGGGGCCCGCACAAGCAGUGGAGUAUGUGGUUUAAUUCGACGCAACGCGAAGAACCUUACCAAGUCUUGACAUCCUGCGACGGACAUAGAAAUAUGUUUUUCCUUCGGGACGCAGAGACAGGUGGUGCAUGGUUGUCGUCAGCUCGUGUCGUGAGAUGUUGGGUUAAGUCCCGCAACGAGCGCAACCCUUACUGUCAGUUACUACGCAAGAGGACUCUGGCAGGACUGCCGUUGACAAAACGGAGGAAGGUGGGGAUGACGUCAAAUCAUCAUGCCCUUUAUGACUUGGGCUACACACGUACUACAAUGGCGUUAAACAAAGAGAAGCAAGACCGCGAGGUGGAGCAAAACUCAGAAACAACGUCCCAGUUCGGACUGCAGGCUGCAACUCGCCUGCACGAAGUCGGAAUUGCUAGUAAUCGUGGAUCAGCAUGCCACGGUGAAUACGUUCCC